rnacentral:rRNA from 1 species
CAGUCGAACGGCAGCGCGGGGCAACCUGGCGGCGAGUGGCGAACGGGUGAGUAAUAUAUCGGAACGUACCCUGGAGUGGGGGAUAACGUAGCGAAAGUUACGCUAAUACCGCAUACGAUCUAAGGAUGAAAGCAGGGGACCGCAAGGCCUUGUGCUCCUGGAGCGGCCGAUAUCUGAUUAGCUAGUUGGUAGGGUAAAAGCCUACCAAGGCAUCGAUCAGUAGCUGGUCUGAGAGGACGACCAACCACACUGGAACUGAGACACGGUCCAGACUCCUACGGGAGGCAGCAGUGGGGAAUUUUGGACAAUGGGCGCAAGCCUGAUCCAGCAAUGCCGCGUGAGUGAAGAAGGCCUUCGGGUUGUAAAGCUCUUUUGUCAGGGAAGAAACGGUGAGGGCUAAUAUCCUUUGCUAAUGACGGUACCUGAAGAAUAAGCACCGGCUAACUACGUGCCAGCAGCCGCG